rnacentral:rRNA from 1 species
GACGAACGCUGGCGGCGUGCUUAACACAUGCAAGUCGAACGGAAAGGCCCCUUUGGGGGUACUCGAGUGGCGAACGGGUGAGUAACACGUGAGUAACCUGCCCUUGACUUCGGGAUAACUUCAGGAAACUGGGGCUAAUACCGGAUAGGAAUCCUUGCUGCAUGGUGGGGGUUGGAAAGCUUCGGCGGUUUUGGAUGGACUCGCGGCUUAUCAGCUUGUUGGUGGGGUAGUGGCUUACCAAGGCUUUGACGGGUAGCCGGCCUGAGAGGGCGACCGGCCACAUUGGGUCUGAGGGGCGGCACAGGCUGCGACGGGAGGCAGCAGUGGGGAAUAUUGCACGAUGGGCGGAGGGCUGAUGCAGCAGGGCCGCGUGCGGGAUGACGGCCUUCGGGUUGAAGACCGCUUUCAGCAGGGGCGAAGCUUGUGGUGACGGUACCUGCAGAAGAAGCACCGGCUAACUACGUG